CCCACUGAUUCCAGAGAGAAGAGUGCUUCAGGCAAGAGUAAUGAGCUAGAGAGAAGGACGUGGCCCCUACGUGAAAUGUAACAAGUGAAGGACACCUAUGCUGCAGGGAAAUCUCUGAAUGGAAGAAACCUUGUAUAACGCUGCCAGCACAGAACAGAACUGGAAAGUACCCAAAGGAAACCAGUAACAGGGUGGAAGAUGAAAUCCAUGUCAGUCUCACCUGAAUUCCAAGAUCAUUUUAAAUUAGAAGCAACCAUCAAAGGUUUGUAACUCGAAUGUUUAAAAGCUCAAAUGUUUUUGCAUGCGUGCUAAAACAUCCCAUGUCACCUCAGUUUCAUAACUGCACUGAUACAUGUAUGCAGAACAGUCAGCUGUCCGCACACUGUCAUAUGUUC